rnacentral:rRNA from 1 species
CAGUCGCCACGGGAAUACGGAGGGUGCAAGCGUUAAUUGGAAUUACUGGGCGUAAAGCGCACGCAGGCGGUCUGACAAGUCAGAUGUGAAAUCCCCGGGCUUAACCUGGGAACUGCAUUUGAAACUGUCAGGCUGGAGUCUUGUAGAGGGGGGUGGAAUUCCAGGUGUAGCGGUGAAAUGCGUAGAGAUCUGGAGGAAUACCGGUGGCGAAGGCGGCCCCCUGGACAAAGACUGACGCUCAGGUGCGAAAGCGUGGGGAGCAAACAGGAUUAGAUACCCCUGUAGUCCCUGUCUCUUAUAC